AGCGAACGCUGGCGGCAGGCUUAACACAUGCAAGUCGAGCGGGCCCUUCGGGGUCAGCGGCAGACGGGUGAGUAACACGUGGGAACGUACCCUUUGGUUCGGAAUAACGCUGGGAAACUAGCGCUAAUACCGGAUACGCCCUUUUGGGGAAAGGCUUGCUGCCGAAGGAUCGGCCCGCGUCUGAUUAGCUAGUUGGUGGGGUAAUGGCCUACCAAGGCGACGAUCAGUAGCUGGUCUGAGAGGAUGAUCAGCCACACUGGGACUGGGACACGGCCCAGACUCCUACGGGAGGCAGCAGUGGGGAAUAUUGGACAAUGGGCGCAAGCCUGAUCCAGCCAUGCCGCGUGAGUGAUGAAGGCCUUAGGGUUGUAAAGCUCUUUUGUCCGGGACGAUAAUGACGGUACCGGAAGAAUAAGCCCCGGCUAACUUCGUG
rnacentral:rRNA from 1 species